rnacentral:tRNA from 1 species
GUGAGCGGUCGUGUCCGAAUGGAUAAAAAGAUUUACUCGAAAUCAAUUGGGCUCUGCCCGCAAAGGUUCGAAUCCUGUUGACCGCGGUAUA